rnacentral:rRNA from 1 species
CCUACGGGGGGCAGCAGUGAGGAAGAGUGGUCAAGGGGCGCGAGCCUGAACCAGCCAAGUAGCGUGAAGGAUGACUGCCCUACGGGUUGUAAACUUCUUUUAUAAAGGAAUAAAGUGAGGCACGUGGGCCUGUUUGUAUGUACGUUAUGAAUAAGGAUCGGCUAACUCCGUGCCAGCAGCCGCGGUAAUACGGAGGAUCCGAGCGUUAUCCGGAUUUAUUGGGUUUAAAGGGAGCGUAGAUGGGUUGUUAAGUAAGUUGUGAAAGUUUGCGGCUCAACCGUAAAAUUGCAAUUGAGACUGGCAGCCUUGAGUACAGUUGCGUUAGUCGGCAUUCGUGGUGUAGCUGU